rnacentral:piRNA from 1 species
UAACUUAGACAAACUUCAGGA